UCAUGGUAUUCUUCUCUGACAUAUUCAAGCAACCUGGGCUUUUAUAGUUCCAAAUAAAAUUAAAGGUUUCUGGAAAAGCUUAUUAUCCUUGGUGUAUCAGUUUCUGAAUUUGCAAUAGCUCUUUCCUAUCCUGAUAUCGAACUGAUCAUAAAAUGUAGAACUAUGCAAUUUUAUUUGCAUGAGUCUUUAUAACCUCAUUUCAUCAGUCCAGUGUAUUGUCGUAUAAGUACUCAGACUUGUUAUCUCACUUUAAAACUAGCAUUAUUUUCUGAGAGCAAUACUGAGUAUAAAUCUCUACCAAUAUUGGAAGCUUCAACAGUUAACAUCCAUGGGGCUGUGUUCAUUGCAGUAUAUGGGUCUUGUCCGCUAUUUCAAGCUAAGCACACCACCAUUUCUCCCCUUUGAUACGCAUGAAACGCUGCAAUUGCCAUCGGGUCACUCAAGAAAUCAGCUUGUAAAAGUAAAUCCGUGCCCAAAGAUGUUAAUAUUAUGCCAGCACCAUCUUUGACAGAAUCAUCAAUAGCCUUUAACAUUGUGGAACAAGAGAAAUUAUCUAUUGUGCAGACCUUGUAAACUGCCAGCCUAUAGAUGUUGCUGAUGUAUGAGUCCCAUAGCUGGCAUGGUCCAUUCUCUCUCAAGAUUCCUCAAAUGCUUACAGAUCAUAAAAUUAAUCCCAACCACUCUCCCCCAAAAAUGCUUUGGAAUAUACAUAUUGAGUGAGAGUGUGACCAGAAGAAGACGCCAAGGUUGCUAAUGCGUUUUGGCUAAGUUGAACUUUCUGUCCUCGGAACCUCUGCGUGCCUCACCAUUAACCAUAUGGUGGCUUGCGUAUCCCGAGUCGAAGACUUCCAACCGCCUCCACUCUUUGUACUUUGGACUCAUAUGAAGAUAAGGAUACCUCUCUUAAUACUCGACCGUUUACAGCUGCUAGACAGCUUUAUCAGAGGCUCUCAUUUGUUGGUAAUACCCCAAGUAUUGCUUACGCAACUGCUUGUAUCGAUGGUAUCAACGGUUGUGAACUUGUGAAGCUCUUUCAUAUGUACAAGUCUUCUGUAUGGGCAUACAUGUACUCCAGUAAAUCAUGUGCUUCGAUUUUUAAUUUCCUGCUAAUAUAUUCUGAGGGUAGGCUCCUUUGAGUAAUUUUGCUUGUGAACUUACUGCACACUUUGUGCCUGUGACCAACCUACUUCUGCGAGAUCAGAGAACAUAAUUAAAUUGUAGCUUGUAAUUAAAUUGUAGUAGCACAAGUCACCACAUGAGCCUUCUUCCAUGCUUGUAAUUAAAAUACAAUCAUGGGUACCCACAAGGAUUUAUAAUUCUUUCUUUUGCAGCAGGUUUGAAUAAGGCUUUCGUAAGGAAUAGUUUAUAUUGCUUUUUUGUCCAAUACUCAUCAUUAAUAGUCUUGCUUUUUAUACUUCCCAAUGAAUUGUUGCAAACUCUGAACACAGCAGGUCCUGCGCUUUCUUGUUGGCUCUGCUUGAUUUUUUCUGUCUUACAUCUCUCCACCUCUCUUUUAUGCACAAUUAAUCACUGUCAUUACUGAAGAUGAGCAGUAGACGAAAUAAAUAUGUCCACAACCUUCGAGCAUAGGAACCAAAUGAGAGAUGAAAUAAGCGGGAUGUCAGUAUCAAAAACUCCCAUUAUCUAUUGUAAUGGCUUACUCUACAUCAACUCCAGCUAUGGUAACAUGCCUUAAUUCCAGUCAGGGUCUGACUUAUCGCUUAGGUUGCUCAAGAGACUCAUAUGUACUGCUUAUUUCUAAUACCCAGCUCCGAAAUUGUCUUUUGGGCGUUUUAUCGAACAGCUACCGUGCAUAUUCAACUUGCCGAAUUUUUGUGAACGCUUUUACUAAGCAAUUGUCCACAUAAAUAGUUGCUUGAUUUUAUGCAGUUGAAUCCAAUGGUUGAAUGCCGUGUUUCUCAAAGUUGGAAUGACGAAAACGGAGCGGUGAUCGUAGUGUUUGCGAAAGUUCGGAGCAGGUGGGAAGCUCGUGAGCUCUUUCGCUCCUCCUAUUCGAAUAUGAUCUCAUCCAAUCUGAGUAAAUAUAGAUUGAUAUAUGUGGUUUUGUUUUUGGUCACCAUUUCGGUUGUAAUUUUUGGCUUUGUAAAUGGGUUGAUCCACUCUUUUUGGUUGUGGGUGAUAUUUUUGAGCUAGAUUUAGAUGAAAACAGGACUAAAAAUUUUUAUCAGCUUCCGACUACCACCUUGGUUGGCGGCGGGUAAAAGGUUUUUCUUAGUUCUCUCACUUGAUGGCCCUUAAUAACUCAGCCGGCUAGUGCUUCAAGGUCCGUUUUGGUUCGA